UACGUAGGGCGCAAGCGUUGUCCGGAUUUAUUGGGCGUAAAGAGCUCGUAGGCGGCUUGUUGCGUCGACUGUGAAAACCGCGGCUUAACUGCGGGCUUGCAGUUGAUACGGGCAGGCUAGAGUUCGGUAGGGGAGACUGGAAUUCCUGGUGUAGCGGUGAAAUGCGCAGAGAUCGGGAAGAAUACCAGUGGCGAAGGCGUUCUGCUGGGCCGUUGCUGACACUGAGGCGCGACAGCGUGGGGAGCAAACAGG
rnacentral:rRNA from 1 species